rnacentral:lncRNA from 1 species
UUUUUUUUCCUUAAUUGAAAUUGUGUGUACUUAGCAAAAAUUAGAAUCGCACACACAAAAAAAUCAAAUGAAGCUGAAUUAAAAUAAGUUAAAAAUUAGGAAAUAUGUUUCACAAUAUCUUAGGUUUUCCGUUAUUUGAGUUAAAAAGCGGUCAUAUUUUCACCGACAGACUCACACACAUCGCAGAACGUGAACCUGUCGCAUCCUUUUUGGCCUUAUGAGCGGACGUUCGCUUGAUGAUGCAAUAAAUAUUACUCCCUCGUAAUAUAAAAAAAAAAUAUUAUGGAACCAAGAGAGUAGUUAUGAGUGCAGUCCUCAUAAACCAAAGUGGAGAGAGAAGUCAACAUACAGUGUUCUACAAAUGGAAAAACAAAACUUUAAUAUAUACUUUUUUGUUCACAUAAAACCAUAAUAAUGCAACCAGAUGAUCAGAUGUUAAGUGCUGAAAUUUUAGCUAAGCAACUAAAGAAUCUUUGUGGAAUUGAACCACCUUCCAUCUGGGAUUUGAGCAUAUGCCCCGGAUCCACAGAGAAUCUCUCCUGACAGAAAGAUCCAUGACGAAAAGGGAAGAUAAUACUUGUUGCUUAUUACUCCCACCAUUCCAAAAUACAAUGUAUGGUUUACUAUUGAACAAGAUUAUAGAUUAAAUAUCAUCAUCUUAAUUUUAAUAAAUAAAAAUACUUUUCAUGACGAUCUAAUGAUGCAAAUAUGAAGAUUUUCAUGCAAAAGAAGAAACCUUAUAUUUUGGGUUUACUAACAUAAUUUGGGUCAGAUUUUCACCAUGAUUUUAACUAAUAAGAUACUGCCUCAAUCCAAUAUAACUGUCGUGCUUUAUAAAAAGCUUAAAAUAAAUCAACUUCACUUAUUUUGGGACCGAUAGAGUAUAAGUCAUAUAGCAAAAAUAAAUUGACACUACAUCAAUUCAAAUAUAAUUUGGUGAAAGGCAUUAAGACAAACAUAUGGUCAAAUUUUUGACCCAAAAUAAGAUAAGGACUAAUAAACCCAGAAUGAGGUAGUGUUGUGGAGCGGUAAAUUUCAUAUUUUGGGUCAGAUUUUGACCAUGAAUUUAACUGAUAAAAUACUCCCUCCAUCCUAUAUAAGUGCCACUGCUUUAUAAUAAAUAAAGAAUUUAAUAAAUCAACUACACUUAUUUUGGGACUGAGGGAGUAUAGGUUAUACAUAGCAAACAUAAAUUGAAACCACAUUCAAAUACAUUCAACAAUAUAAUUUGAUGACAUGCAUUAAGACCAACAUAUGAUCAAAUUUUGACCCAAAAUACGACAAGGAGUAAUAAACCCAGAAUGAGGUAGUAUUGUGUAGCACCCAGCGUAUAUAAAUUUCAUAUUUUCAGUCGGAUUUUGACCAUGAACUUAACUUAUAAAAUACUCCAUCCAAUAAGUGUCGUUGCUUUACAAAUUAUAAAAACUUGAAAUAAAUCGACUACACUUGGACUGAGAGAGUAUAGGUUAUACAAAGCAAACAUAAAAUGAAGCUACAUUCAAAUACAAAUUCAACAAUAUAAUUUUGUGACAUGCAUUAAGACAAACAUAUGGUCAAAUUUUGACCCGAAAUACUACAAAGACUAAUAAACAUUAGCAGUUGCUGCGGCAACUACCAUUGCAGAUCAGUUCAAGAUCUAGUCCAGAUAUAACUGGUAAAUGGCUGAAAAUUAUCUGCGCGUACCAAUCAACAACUAUGUAGUACAAUAAACUAACUGCACAAGAUCCUCAAAAUUAUGUGUGCCCAACUGGACAAAAACACAACUAAAACUCAUUGCUGACAGAUAUAUUAAAACUGAAAAAAUAAGUUCAGAAGAUUGAAAAUAGACUUGCUCAAUAUGAAAUUAUGUGUGGGAUAUAUGGAAUGUAAUAUUUGAACUAAAACUAACCACUGACUAAAUGCAGAAGAAUCAAAUAGCACAUAAUUUACUGGAGUACAUCUUAACCAGUUUCUCGAAGUCUGCUGAGCCUAUGAUGACCAGAAUUGAGGUCCACGUUUAGAUUCUUCUGCUGCAGGGUGCUUCUUCAUAAAUAUGAUGUCCACAUCCAGGGAAGAUAGCUGUAGAUUUAAUUUCUGGACUAUACAAUCCCAUCAUAAAGCUAUUCAGGAGAGCAGACAAACAUAUGAACAUUGUACAUUGUACAUCUCAAAUUGAAAUAGAGACCACGAUCAAAUUGUGAUCAUUGUACAUCUCAAGAGAGCAGACAAACAUAUGAACACAAAUUUAGAAAAAAUAACAACCCUUGAUAUAUAUACCAUAUUCUGGGGAAAAAUAGAAAACAAAACGAUUUGGCCUUCUGUUUAGACUGCCGAUUGUUAUUUAAGUUCAAAUUUGAGCUGUGAUAUGAUAGCAGAUUCAACAGCGAAUCAGACAAAUGAUUUCACUACAACUACGAGACUGAGAGUAACUUAAACGGGUUCAAGUGAUCACGAAUUCCUCCGUGUAAACAAGCUCAGAACAGAAUUACAAUUUACGAGAGCAGUACUUUGUCUCAAGUUUAUGUAUGCUUCAGCUGUAGAUUAUCGAUUGUACCUUUGGUUUGUAGCUCCUUGAUCGAUUCGCGACGGUAGAACGUUGUGCCAGGAAGAUUGGAUCGGACGAGAGGUGCAGACAAAGGAGCACACCAGGACACGGUGGGGGGAGACCCCGGGGCUGAAACAGAAAAAUCCCCGUGCGAUCUCCCCCCGGACACAAGAACCAUCUUUAUUACGGUGGUGGCCUGCCAUGCGAGCGCACCCAACAUGGCAAAGGCCUCUAGGUGUCACAUCUCUCUCUUUUUUCACUCCUUUUUCCCUCUUGGCACGAUCACCUCGCUUGUUACAUGCUCUUACCUCCGAUCUCUUAGAUCUAAUAAUUAUCGAGAUAUCAUCGGAUAAUUAUCAAUACAAGAGCCGCCGUCGCGCGAGGCGGAGAAGACGGGAUCCCCACGUGCAUGCCGGAGAAGACGCCUUCCUCGCCGCAGGGUCAACCCGAGACCACCGGGAACCCCCAGAUCCGCCGCGGGCCAUCAGAUCUACGAGUCAUACCGGCACGGAAAGUCAGGCAAGACGGAUCUACGGCUCAAUCACGCGGUGGAGACGAUCUCAGCGGGGGAAAAUACUCACAGGUAACAGAUCUGACUCGCCGGACGGGCAGACCGGAAGAUGCAGCCGCCUCGCAACUCGCUCCAAGAUCGCCGCAAGCCCAGCCCGUCGAUCGACGAGGAACCUGCGAACCAGAGAGCACACGGGGGUUUCGCGGGAAAAAUCAUGGUAGCCAGACUCACGGGCUCACCUUGCCGAGAUGGAGGUAGUUGUGGUUGGGAGGAGGAGGCGGGUUCUUCUCUAUAUCAAGGAUCUGAUCUAGUGUAUAGGGGGAGGGAAAAAGGUUGCGUGUCGCAGAGGAGAACGCGGCGGCUUUGUUGGUGGUCUGCUCAGAGUCGG